rnacentral:rRNA from 1 species
UACGGAGGGUGCAAGCGUUAAUCGGAAUUACUGGGCGUAAAGCGCGCGUAGGCGGCUCGUUAAGUCGAUUGUGAAAUCCCCGGGCUCAACCUGGGAAUUGCAGUCGAUACUGGCGGGCUAGAGUGUGGGAGAGGGUGGUGGAAUUCCCGGUGUAGCGGUGAAAUGCGUAGAUAUCGGGAGGAACAUCAGUGGCGAAGGCGACCACCUGGCCCAACACUGACGCUGAGGUGCGAAAGCGUGGGUAGCAAAC